UCGCGGGAGUAGACGUCUUUCAAUAUGGCUGCCGUUGUAAUCGUAGGCUAAUUGCACAAUUGGACCGCGUCUGUAUGUUAGCUUGUCUGCUGUUAAAAAGUUAUACUGUAAAGAAUAACAAAUGGCUUCAGUUGACGCGUGUGGUGCGAGCAGCUAAGGUGUGUUUGGACGACACCAUGCAUCCCCAAAUGGACCAUCACCAGACUGCCGUACUAUAUUGGCAGUAACAUGUUUCCUAACCAUGGAUUUACUGAGCUGUGGAUGUGGGCUGACGAUGUAGUCAGGCAGACAGGAGUUGGCAAGGACGGACACAAGGAGCCGCUCGCUGAUAGCAGUACAGGGAUGGUAGAGCAAUACAGCCGCUCCAUGCUGGCAACACACAACAAACACAAAUAAAAGGGAACGUUACUGACAGUAUUCUCUUGUAUAAAGUAACCACCUAAUGUGUUUGCUAGAGCAAGAACUGAUUUGAUAAACACCGCUGAUAUAUCUCAGAUCAAAAGUCCAAGCAAGAAUCAUGUUGAUUUGAAAUGAAAAGGACGUGGCCUUUCAAUAAUCCAUGAUAACAACAUAAAUAUUUUUGUAAAUGUGUUAAAAAUAAAGAACUAAGUAUUCACAGCCUUUGGCAUUAAGUUGAAAUUGAUCUCCGGUGCACCCCGUUUCCACUUCCUUGAGCUGUUUCUACAACUUAUUAAUUAGAGGCCCCUGUGGUAAAUUCACCUGUAAAUUCUGUAUAAAAAGCUGCGGCACCCUACUGUUCUCACAUAUAGUAUGCAAUCAACAAUUAACAUGUUUGUGCUCAUGUAACUGUGUACUGAGUAUUCUGCCUGUGAUGGAAAGAAACCUUUGGCGAUAGAACUGACAUGCAGAUUAUUGAGCCAGCGUUGAGGAGGGCAGUAGAAGUAUUCUCCACUCUCGGCUUGGACCGGUCUGUAUGCACCACUGCAAAUCAUAC